rnacentral:rRNA from 4 species
GGGUUGUGAGGUUAAGCGACUAAGCGUACACGGUGGAUGCCCUGGCAGUCAGAGGCGAUGAAGGGCGUGCUAAUCUGCGAUAAGCGCCGGUAAGGUGAUAUGAACCGUUAUAACCGGCGAUACCCGAAUGGGGAAACCCAGUGUGACUCGUCACACUAUCAUUAACUGAAUCCAUAGGUUAAUGAGGCGAACCGGGGGAACUGAAACAUCUAAGUACCCCGAGGAAAAGAAAUCAACCGAGAUUCCCCCAGUAGCGGCGAGCGAACGGGGAGGAGCCCAGAGCCUGAAUCAGCAUGUGUGUUAGUGGAAGCGUCUGGAAAGGCGCGCGAUACAGGGUGACAGCCCCGUACACAAAAGCGCAUGUGCUGUGAGCUCGAUGAGUAGGGCGGGACACGUGGUAUCCUGUCUGAAUAUGGGGGGACCAUCCUCCAAGGCUAAAUACUCCUGACUGACCGAUAGUGAACCAGUACCGUGAGGGAAAGGCGAAAAGAACCCCGGCGAGGGGAGUGAAAAAGAACCUGAAACCGUGUACGUACAAGCAGUGGGAGCACAGGUUUACCUGUGUGACUGCGUACCUUUUGUAUAAUGGGUCAGCGACUUAUAUUCUGUAGCAAGGUUAACCGAAUAGGGGAGCCGGAGGGAAACCGAGUCUUAAUUGGGCGUUAAGUUGCAGGGUAUAGACCCGAAACCCGGUGAUCUAGCCAUGGGCAGGUUGAAGGUUGGGUAACACUAACUGGAGGACCGAACCGACUAAUGUUGAAAAAUUAGCGGAUGACCUGUGGCUGGGGGUGAAAGGCCAAUCAAACCGGGAGAUAGCUGGUUCUCCCCGAAAGCUAUUUAGGUAGCGCCUCGUGAAUUCAUCUCCGGGGGUAGAGCACUGUUUCGGCUAGGGGGCCAUCCCGGCUUACCAACCCGAUGCAAACUGCGAAUACCGGAGAAUGUUAUCACGGGAGACACACGGCGGGUGCUAACGUCCGUCGUGAAGAGGGAAACAACCCAGACCGCCAGCUAAGGUCCCAAAGUCAUGGUUAAGUGGGAAACGAUGUGGGAAGGCCCAGACAGCCAGGAUGUUGGCUUAGAAGCAGCCAUCAUUUAAAGAAAGCGUAAUAGCUCACUGGUCGAGUCGGCCUGCGCGGAAGAUGUAACGGGGCUAAACCAU